UACGGAGGAUCCGAGCGUUAUCCGGAUUUAUUGGGUUUAAAGGGAGCGUAGGUGGAUUGUUAAGUCAGUUGUGAAAGUUUGCGGCUCAACCGUAAAAUUGCAGUUGAAACCGGCAGUCUUGAGUACAGUAGAGGUGGGCGGAAUUCGUGGUGUAGCGGUGAAAUGCUUAGAUAUCACGAAGAACUCCGAUUGCGAAGGCAGCUCACUGGACUGCAACUGACACUGAGGCUCGAAAGUGUGGGUAUCAAACAGG
rnacentral:rRNA from 1 species